rnacentral:rRNA from 1 species
GACGAACGCUGGCGGCGUGCUUAACACAUGCAAGUCGAACGGAAAGGCCCUGCUUGCAGGGUACUCGAGUGGCGAACGGGGGAGUAACACGUGGGUGAUCUGCCCUGCACUUCGGGAUAAGCCUGGGAAACUGGGUCUAAUACCGGAUAGGAGCCAUUUUUAGUGUGAUGGUUGGAAAGUUUUUUCGGUGUAGGAUGAGCUCGCGGCCUAUCAGCUUGUUGGUGGGGUAAUGGCCUACCAAGGCGGCGACGGGUAGCCGGCCUGAGAGGGUGGACGGCCACAUUGGGACUGAGAUACGGCCCAGACUCCUACGGGAGGCAGCAGUGGGGAAUAUUGCACAAUGGGCGCAAGCCUGAUGCAGCGACGCCGCGUGGGGGAUGACGGCCUUCGGGUUGUAAACUGCUUUCGCUAGGGACGAAGCUUUUUGUGACGGUACCUAGAUAAGAAGCACCGGCUAAUUACGU